rnacentral:rRNA from 1 species
CCUACGGGGCGCACCAGUAGGGAAUCUUCGGCAAUGGACGAAAGUCUGACCGAGCAACGCCGCGUGAGUGAAGAAGGUUUUCGGAUCGUAAAACUCUGUUGUUAGAGAAGAACAAGUAGGAGAGUAACUGCUCUUACCUUGACGGUAUCUAACCAGAAAGCCACGGCUAACUACGUGCCAGCAGCCGCAGUAAUACGUAGGUGGCAAGCGUUGUCCGGAUUUAUUGGGCGUAAAGCGAGCGCAGGCGGUCUUUUCAGUCUGAUGUGAAAGCCCUCGGCUCAACCGAGGAAGGUCAUUGGAAACUGGAGGACUUGAGUGCAGAAGACGAGAGUGGAAUUCCAUGUGUAGCGGUGAAAUGCGUAGAUAUAUGGAGGAUCACCAGUGGCGAAGGCGACUCUCUGGUCAGUAACUGACGCUGAGGCUCGAAAGCGUGGGGAGCAAACAGGAUUAGAUACCCGAGUAGUC